UACGGGGGGAGCAAGCGUUGUUCGGAUUUACUGGGCGUAAAGGGCGCGUAGGCGGCCUGCUAAGUCGAACGUGAAAUCCCCGGGCUCAACCCGGGAACUGCGUCCGAUACUGGCAGGCUUGAAUUCGGGAGAGGGAUGCGGAAUUCCAGGUGUAGCGGUGAAAUGCGUAGAUAUCUGGAGGAACACCGGUGGCGAAGGCGGCAUCCUGGACCGAAAUUGACGCUGAGGCGCGAAAGCCAGGGGGAGCAAACGGG
rnacentral:rRNA from 1 species